GAGUUUGAUCCUGGCUCAGAACGAACGCUGGCGGCGUGCUUAACACAUGCAAGUCAGGGAGAAAGUCUCUUCGGGGAUGAUUAAACCGGCGCACGGGUGAGUAACACGUGAGUGACCUGCCUUUUAGACUGGAACAACUUACCGAAAGGUGAGCUAAUGCCGGAUGAGUUAUAUAAGUGCAUGUUUAUAUAGGAAAAGUUGGGGAGACCUGACGCUGAAAGAUGGACUCGCGUCCCAUUAGCUAGUUGGUAGGGUAAUGGCCUACCAAGGCGACGAUGGGUAGCCGGCCUGAGAGGGUGGCCGGCCACACUGGGACUGAGACACGGCCCAGACUCCUACGGGAGGCAGCAGUGGGGAAUUUUGCGCAAUGCUCGUAAGAGUGACGCAGCGACGCCGCGUGAAUGACGAAGGCCUUCGGGUCGUAAAGUUCUUUCGACAGGGAAGAAAAUGCCUAUAAGUAACUGUGUAUGUAUUGACGGUACCUGUAUAAGCAGCCCCGGCUAACUCCGUGCCAGCAGCCGCGGUAAUACGGAGGGGGCGAGCGUUGUUCGGAGUGACUGGGCGUAAAGAGCACGUAGGCGGUGUUGUAAGUCAUUAGUCAAAGACUAGAGCUCAACUUUAGUAAGGCUAGUGAUACUAUAAUACUAGAGUAUCAGAGAGGAUUGCAGAAUUCCUGGUGUAGCGGUGAAAUGCGUAGAUAUCAGGAGGAAUACCGUUAGCGAAGGCGGCAAUCUGGCUGGA
rnacentral:rRNA from 1 species